UACAGAGGUCUCAAGCGUUGCUCGGAAUCACUGGGCGUAAAGGGUGCGUAGGCGGGUCUUUAAGUCAGGGGUGAAAUCCUGGAGCUCAACUCCAGAACUGCCUUUGAUACUGAGGAUCUUGAGUACGGGAGAGGUGAGUGGAACUGCGAGUGUAGAGGUGAAAUUCGUAGAUAUUCGCAAGAACACCAGUGGCGAAGGCGGCUCACUGGCCCGUAACUGACGCUGAGGCACGAAAGCGUGGGGAG
rnacentral:rRNA from 1 species